rnacentral:lncRNA from 1 species
CUCCAAAUUUAAAACACAACCCCGGGAUUAUUGAGUGAAAAGAAUAAGUUUGGGGGUUGUGUAUCUCUCGAGCGAGUAAGGAUAUAUUUGACCACUUGGGGUCGGGACUCAAACUCAUCAUGAACUUGAUAUGUUAGCGUGAAUCCACACACACACGUCAAGUAUGCAUUUAACAGGUAAAGGUUGAUGUCAUUUUACACUGAUAAAUUUUCAUAAAAUCAAUUACUUAGUCCAAUCCUGAGUCAAGGUAAGGUGUUAAACCAUGUUUGUUUAGAAUUAAGUCCCUAUCUUGUUUGAGGACAAACAAUAGUUCAAGUUUGGGGGGUUUGAUAAAUGUGUUUUUGCACACUUAUUUAGAUUGCAAACAUGACUUAAAUACAAACAAAAUGAUUGAAUUGUGACUUAAUCUCAUUGAAUUCAUGCAAUGUAGGUGUUUCUAUGGAAAUAGUGGAAUUUAGGAGAAGAGAGCCGAAAAAGGACUAAAAUGGAGCAAAGUGAUAGUUCAGGGACUAAGGAUGCAAAUAUUCGAAAGUUGAACUAAAAGACAACUCGGGAAUGCAAAUAUGCUAAGUAUGAACUCGAAAGCAAUACAAGAUGAUUGGAAGAAGAAGGAAUUGCAAAGGGACUAAAAUGAAUUAAAUUGAAAGUUCGGGGACCAAGUUGCAAAUAAUUCAUAGAUGAGACGGGAAAUGGAAUGAAGAUUCAAGAGUGUUAG